CCUCCUCUCUUUAAUCACAUCAGCCCACCCACCAUAUCUCUAUCAUCAUUUGAAAUUCCUGCCAUAUGUUCAAUAAAAGUAUUUAUAAAUAAUUAUCACAUUUGAAUGUCAUCCUAGUUUAGGCUCCAUGAAACUCGUAAUAGCACAAUUAGAUAGACUAAAAAUAAGAAUAUAAAUAAUUAAAUUCCCACUGAGAUUUUACUAAGACUCGUCUUACAAUAAUAUCCACAGUUCUCAAAUAUUGAUGCAGAUAGAACAUUAGAACUGAACAAAUAUAAAACAAAAAAAAACAAUUAUAAACCACAAAAAAAGACUCAACAAACUAUAUAAUACAAAAUGUGUGACAAUUGAUACCUGCUAAGAAUUGGGUAAGGAUGCAUAUAUGAAUUCUAUUCCCUGCAAAAUUCAGUUAAUAUUUUGCUACAUAAAUGAUAUAAUAUAUGAAAUUGAACCACAAAAUUUGAAUGUUUGUAAAAAAACUCAUUUUUAUAAAGGAGUUUUCGGAAAAGGAA
rnacentral:lncRNA from 1 species